GGCGGCAUGCUUAACACAUGCAAGUCGAACGGUGCCUUCGGGCACAGUGGCGCACGGGUGAGUAACGCGUGGGAACCUGCCUUGGAGUUCGGAAUAACCGCGGGAAACUGCGGCUAAUACCGGAUAUUGCCUUCGGGUGAAAGAUUUAUCGCUCCGAGAGGGGCCCGCGUCCGAUUAGCUAGUUGGUGGGGUAACGGCCUACCAAGGCUCCGAUCGGUAGCUGGUCUGAGAGGAUGAUCAGCCACACUGGGACUGAGACACGGCCCAGACUCCUACGGGAGGCAGCAGUGGGGAAUAUUGGACAAUGGGGGCAACCCUGAUCCAGCAAUGCCGCGUGAGUGAUGAAGGCCUUAGGGUUGUNAAGCUCUUUUACCCACGACGAUNAUGACGGUAGUGGGAGAAUAAGCCCCGGCUAACUUCGUGCCAGCAGCCGCGGUAAUACNAAGGGGGCUAGCGUUGUUC
rnacentral:rRNA from 1 species